rnacentral:rRNA from 1 species
UACAGAGGUGGCAAGCGUUGUUCGGAAUUACUGGGCGUAAAGGGCGCGUAGGCGGUUCGUUAAGUCCUGUGUGAAAUCCCCCGGCUCAACUGGGGAACUGCACAGGAAACUAGCGGGCUUGAGGUUGGGAGAGGGAUGCGGAAUUCCAGGUGUAGCGGUGAAAUGCGUAGAUAUCUGGAGGAACACCGGUGGCGAAGGCGGCAUCCUGGACCAAUUCUGACGCUGAGGAGCGAAAGCCAGGGGAGCAAACGGG